GUCUUAUUACAUAUUGCUACAAGUCUUCCAUCAAUUAGAGAGUGGUAGUGAAGCUAUUUCUGUAAAGAGAGCUAUUUGCAUUUUUAAUUAUUGUCUGUGAACCAGGUCUACAAAGUUAUUCAUAUACUACACUCAAUCCACAGCAAAUCUCCCACUGAAAAUAACAGAUUUACCUGGCCAAGAGGAGAUCCAUAUGUCAGUGCCACUAACACCAAGGAAGAUUCCAGAACCUUGACAGUAUUGAAGUAGAGUUGGAGGCAACCCUUGCCUAAUGACCUUCUGAUGGGAGAGGGAGACAGUGAAGGAAAAUGGGAGGAUGGCAGAGGUACAAUCACUCUACGAGAACAAUUGCUUCUCUGCACACUUCUUAAGGGACUCAAAGGGUUAACUCCUGCUCAGAGUUCUCCACCCAGGCGACUAGGAAGAGAGGCAAUGAUCUAAAGCAGAGCCUGCUUAACUAAGCAUGGAGAAGCUAAAAAGUCAGGUAAGAUUCAUGUGUACAGCCUUAAUUACUUCAACCCAUAUCUGACUCCUGUGUUCCUGUUGAUACAUCAUACAUUUUUUCUGAAAAGUCUGAAGUGUGUCACUCCAUACAUUUUCUGGGUACUAAGCUCCCAAAUACUUAGGCCUGCCAUGAGUGCAGGGGACUGGACUAGAUGACCUCUCGAGAUCCUUUCCAGUCCUACAAUUCUGUGAUUCUAAAGAAAGAAGACUUUCAGGGAACCAAACCUGUCCCUGCUGCAGGAGCCGCAGUGUGAAACAGGGAUGCUGAUGCCUAGGGACCCAGUCUGAGAGUGGCAGAGUCACAGGACUCCCCCUUUAAUGAA
rnacentral:lncRNA from 1 species